rnacentral:rRNA from 1 species
UACGGGGGGAGCAAGCGUUGUUCGGAUUUACUGGGCGUAAAGGGCGCGUAGGCGGUCAGCACAAGUCAGUUGUGAAAUCUCCGGGCUUAACUCGGAAAGGUCAACUGAUACUGUGCGACUAGAGUGCGGAAGGGGCAACUGGAAUUCUCGGUGUAGCGGUGAAAUGCGUAGAGAUCGGGAGGAACAUCUGUGGCGAAGGCGACUGCCUGGACCAGCACUGACACUGAGGCACGAAAGCGUGGGGAGCAAACAGG